rnacentral:tRNA from 1 species
CGAGGUGUAGCGCAAUCUGGUCAGCGCAUCUGUUUUGGGUACAGAGGACCAUAGAUUCGAAUCCUGUCACCUUGA